UGCUUUCUGUCCCAAAGCCUCAUCACUUGUACCCAUCACUGCUGAUGCAGACAGAGAUAAAGUAGUGGGACACAACUAUUACCCUGGCCAAGUGUUGGCUGACCUACCUAAUGGGGGGGCCUGUCCCCCUUAUCCCAACAGAACUCUUCAAUAAGUACACCUAGAAGGCUGAGGAUGACCGGGGUAAAAUGUAUAAAAUCAACCUCAGUUAGAUUUUCCCUUCUUUUAAACUCCGGUUCUUUUAGGACCAGAAUUGUUCCUUUUUGUCUUUCAGGUACCCGAGGAAGAAAAUGCUGAUCUUGCUGCUGUGCCUGACAGCUUCCCUCCUCACCAAGGGAAUGAUGGUAAUGAAUCAAGAUAUAUGAUAAUCUUGAAUGAGAAUGGCAAUGCAUUGACACCUCUGUAACAAGUGGAAGUGGCCAGUCAUGGGGUAAAGAUGACUGGCCUUCUCAGCGCAUAAUUAAGCAUUAUGGACCAGCAAAUGGAACCCUAAUGAAUGGAUCAAGCCAUGCAAAUGCAUACGGCAGUAUUUCAGCACUGAAUGGUUCUUGAUUACCUUCUGGCUGAAGAAGUUUGGGUCUGUGGUAAAUUGAAUGCUUCCACCUACUGUUUGAAGAUUGAUUACAAUGGUAAUAUUGUAAACCAGAUCACCCAAGGUGUAUGAAAACUAACCCACAUUCCUGUCCAAACUUGGAAAGGCUUGGACUCUGAUUUCUUUUCUUGGCUUCCAGGUAACCUACGGGUGAGACACAUUUUGUUCUAGCUGUUGUGUGCUAUUGAUGCAUUUAUAUUUGUACCUUGCCUGAUCCCAUGCUUUGUUCAGCUCAUUCAACAUGUUGGAUGCUCUCUGCCUCUUGUGACUGCAUAUACCAAUGGACAAGUCCAACAGGGGUGUCAGGAACAAGGAAGAUAAGGGUCUUGACGCUUAUCAUCUUCCGGGCUACUCCCAAGAUACAGUGGUUCGGCCUUGUGUGGAGGCCCCAGAUUCUCUGAUGCCGAUAAGCCUGUACCGGACUGUUGCACCUGUGUUGGACGUGCUGUUACUAUGGGCAACCCAAGAAGAACCAGACAGUAUGUUUAUGGACUCUGCAAAAUCUGGGUGUGUGUCUUUUCCACUGUUGUGUUUUCCUUCUCCCUGCGAUUGACCGAGGGAGAGAAAAAGAGUGAACCUGCACCCAUCCCUCCCUGACUCCCACUAUGGACCAGACUCAUGGAACAUUGUGACACUGCGGUGGUAACAAUCUCUGCAUUCCUAUAAUAAACCUUUGCUUUUAUUUUCUGAAUGAAAAAUGCAAUUCCAGCUGUUCUGAUCUUUCUUUCACUCUGUCUUUCUUUCCUUCUUUCCCUCUUUCUUUUCUUCAUUUCUUUCCUUCCUUUCUUCUUUUUGAUUUUCCUUCUUUUUUGUCUCUCAUGUUAUCAGUGUAUAUCAUAGUGCUAUUAAAUAAUAAUAAUAUCACUAAUAAAUAGUAUCUACAACUCUAUUCAAUCCCCUUUGUUCUCCUCUUAAUAAUGUAUUUGGUGGUCUAGAAUCAACUAAUUUUCUUCAUCAACAGUA